rnacentral:rRNA from 1 species
AGAGUUUGAUCCUGGCUCAGGAUGGACGCUGGCGGCGUGCCUAACACAUGCAAGUCGAGCGAUCUUCUUCGGAAGAGAGCGGCGGACGGGUGAGUAACGCAUGGGUAACCUGCCUCAUACACAUGGAUAACAUACCGAAAGGUAUGCUAAUACAAGAUGAUAUAAGAGAUUCGCAUGGAUUUCUUAUCAAAGCUCCGGCGGUAUGAGAUGGACCCGCGUCUGAUUAGCUAGUUGGUAAGGUGACGGCUUACCAAGGCGACGAUCAGUAGCCGACCUGAGAGGGUGAUCGGCCACAUUGGAACUGAGACACGGUCCAAACUCCUACGGGAGGCAGCAGUGGGGAAUAUUGCACAAUGGGCGAAAGCCUGAUGCAGCAACGCCGCGUGAGCGAUGAAGGCCUUCGGGUCGUAAAGCUCUGUCCUCAAGGAAGAUAAUGACGGUACUUGAGGAGGAAGCCCCGGCUAACUACGUGCCAGCAGCCGCGGUAAUACGUAGGGGGCUAGCGUUAUCCGGAUUUACUGGGCGUAAAGGGUGCGUAGGUGGUUUCUUAAGUCAGGAGUGAAAGGCUACGGCUCAACCGUGGUAAGCUCUUGAAACUGGGAAACUUGAGUGCAGGAGAGGAAAGUGGAAUUCCUAGUGUAGCGGUGAAAUGCGUAGAUAUUAGGAGGAACACCAGUAGCGAAGGCGGCUUUCUGGACUGUAACUGACACUGAGGCACGAAAGCGUGGGGAGCAAACAGGAUUAGAUACCCUGGUAGUCCACGCCGUAAACGAUGAGUACUAGGUGUCGGGGGUUACCCC